UUCUGUUAGCCAUUUCUUCCAUAUUUGUAGAGUGCCUACUAAUUGCUUUUCUUCUUUCCAUUAAAAAAAAUCUUAUUUCCUAGACUAUUCACUUUGUAAAUGGAACUUGGAACUUAUCCUGUCUAUGAUUCUUAUUGAACUACAACUGGAAUGCCCUGGAGAGGUAAAUACAUCACCUUAUGGGGUUUGACACACUGAACAGGAAUCCCAAGGAUGAUGAAUCUCACUGAAGAAGUCCAAGCUAAAAAAAUUUCACAUACACCACAAGAAUUACUAAUAAGCUUAGUUGAUGCAUGCCAGGAUAAUUUUAGUUAAAAGCCUCUAGCAUUCUGCAACAUCUGUGAUCCUGACAGUUUGGCUAAGGAAUUAUUGGCCUGCCAAUAUCAGCAAACUUCGGAAUGUCUUUUCAGAAGAAAAAGAUGAAAGAAAAAGGGAGUGAUUGGAAGAGUUGGAAGUAAUAUCAACAGCAAAGCUUGGAGCAGAGAAAAGAAGCAAAUUUUCAGCUUAGCUUCCCAGGCAGAAGAGUGAGAGAAGACAAACUGGGAGAUAUACGAACACUUUGGGGAGAGAUCAGAAAGAGACAUGAGCAGGACUAAUGAAGAAGAGUGAGAAAAGGACAUUAGAAAGAAGCCCAAAGAUGAGUAAGCCUGGGCUCAAGUGGUACAAGCAUUUCAUCAGAUAAGCUAUACAUCACUCUUAUUUUGAAUCCCAGUGUUUAACAAUAUAGUAUCAAAUUAAACACUUGCCUGAAAUAAUGAUUACAAAUGACUUUUAAUUAUUAUCCUCUUAAUGCAAUUUAAUAAUUUACUGAUGACUACUACAGAUUUAAAAUAUGCUAGACAUAGAUAUUGAAAAAGGGACAUUUAUUUUACUCAUUGCCUAAAUAUUGAUUGAGAAUUUACUCUGGGCUAGGCACUGUGUUUGGCAGUAAGAAUAUACUGAUGAGUAAAACAGAAGGUCCAGGACCUCUUGGAAUCUGUGAUUUAGUGGGAGUGGUAGACGGACACACACACACACACACACACACACACACACACACACAUGUUUACAAACUGUGCUGAUUUUCAAGAAUGAUCUGUUUUGGAAGCAUGAUUUACCAAUGAGGAAAUAAAGUAGAAUGA